AUUGAACGCUGGCGGAAUGCUUUACACAUGCAAGUCGAACGGCAGCACGGGAGCUUGCUCCUGGUGGCGAGUGGCGAACGGGUGAGUAAUACAUCGGAACGUACCCUGAAGUGGGGGAUAACGUAGCGAAAGUUACGCUAAUACCGCAUAUUCUGUGAGCAGGAAAGAGGGGGAUCGCAAGACCUCUUGCUUUAGGAGCGGCCGAUGUCGGAUUAGCUAGUUGGUGAGGUAAAGGCUCACCAAGGCGACGAUCCGUAGCGGGUCUGAGAGGAUGAUCCGCCACACUGGGACUGAGACACGGCCCAGACUCCUACGGGAGGCAGCAGUGGGGAAUUUUGGACAAUGGGCGCAAGCCUGAUCCAGCCAUGCCGCGUGAGUGAAGAAGGCCU
rnacentral:rRNA from 1 species